GCCCCUAUAGCUCAGUUGGAUAGAGCACAGGAUUCCUAAUCCUGGCGCCGCGCGUUCGAAUCGCGCUAGGGGCACCA
rnacentral:tRNA from 1 species